rnacentral:lncRNA from 1 species
UUUCUUCAUAAUUUUUUUAAAAAAUAUACAUUGUGAUAUUAAAGAGUUAAGUUCUCAUGAAUUUUUUAAUAUGUUAACGACAGGAAAAAACUAUAAAAAAAAAAAUGAAAAUUUAAAUAAUACAUUAGAUUUUAAACGCCUAAAUGACUUACAAGAAAAUGUAUAUAUAAAGACAAACAAGGACUUUGUUCUUUAUGUAUAUGCAAAAUGGGAUAACGAUUCGAAGUACUGCUUAAAAAAAAAAAAAAAAAAAUUUAAAUAAAUGAACCAGCGGUGUGUACAUGUAUACAUACACAAAUAAAUACGUGUAUAUAUAUAUAUAUAUGUGCUUAUAUACAUAUAUACAUUUUACUAUUCAUACAAAUCAAGCGUAAUAACUUUUUUAUGGAGCAUAUAAGUAUAUAUAUAUAUAUAUAUAGAUAGUUGUGUAAGUUUAUGUGUAAAUGUAUAAAAAGUGUAUUUACAUAAUUUAACUUAUCCCAAUAUUCUAAUUCACAUCUUUAAUUUUAUUUUAUUAUUUUAUUAUUUUUUCAUUUUGUUUUUUUUUCUUUUAUAGUAAUUUAAUAGCCGUUUUUAGAGAAGUAGAAAGAAUAAUAAAAGAAAAGAACUUAAAGUUAGAUUUCUAUAUAUUUAACAUAGAAAAUGCUAAAGAUUUAUGCAAUGCAUUAAAUAUCACGUCACUCCCCUUGAUACUAUAUAUCUCUUCGGGGCAUAGAAAAAAAAAAAGUUCAUUAUUUCAGAAGAUUUUUAGUUCCAGUAAAGAUGUGAAAAUAAACAAUGCCUUCAGAUACAAUGGGGACUUGUAUUGCUAUGAUUACAUAGUGGAAUGGAUAGAAAUACAUUACCACUUUACAAAAGUAGUUUUACUAAUGAAGAACAUAUUUAACAAAAAAAAAAGAUAACACAUGCAAAUAUAUAAUGUCAUUUUUAUUUUACUAUUGACAGUAAAAUGAAUUUUUUUUUUACGAACUAAUUGACAAAAAGUAAGAAACUGUUUGUUAAUAGUUAUAAAAGUUUCAGAUGAAAAUGUAAAGUGCUUUUUUCUUCUAUUUAAAUCUUAAUGAAUAUUUAUUAUUUUUUAAAUGAAACAUAACAUUCUACUAUAGGUUUUUUUUUUUUUUUUUUUUUUUUAAAUCUAUGUUAAUACAUUUAUGUUAUAUAUAUAAGUUCCUGUUGGUGUAUACACCCAUUCAUAUAUGUUGUCUAUAUUGUUUAUACACACAUAUAUAUGUAUAUAUAAACUUUUAAGUUGAAUGUAAGUA